UACGUAGGGUGCAGGCGUUAAUCGGAAUUACUGGGCGUAAAGCGUGCGCAGGCGGUUUGCUAAGACAGGUGUGAAAUCCCCGGGCUUAACCUGGGAACUGCGCUUGAAACUACAAGGCUAGAGUGCGGCAGAGGGGGGUGGAAUUCCACGUGUAGCAGUGAAAUGCGUAGAGAUGUGGAGGAACACCGAUGGCGAAGGCAGCCCCCUGGGUUAACACUGACGCUCAGGCACGAAAGCGUGGGGAGCAAACGGG
rnacentral:rRNA from 1 species